CACAUGCAGUCGAGCGGUAGCACAGGGAGCUUGCUCCUGGGUGACGAGCGGCGGACGGGUGAGUAAUGUCUGGGAAACUGCCUGAUGGAGGGGGAUAACUACUGGAAACGGUAGCUAAUACCGCAUAACGUCUACGGACCAAAGUGGGGGACCUUCGGGCCUCAUGCCAUCAGAUGUGCCCAGAUGGGAUUAGCUAGUAGGUGGGGUAAUGGCUCACCUAGGCGACGAUCCCUAGCUGGUCUGAGAGGAUGACCAGCCACACUGGAACUGAGACACGGUCCAGACUCCUACGGGAGGCAGCAGUGGGGAAUAUUGCACAAUGGGCGCAAGCCUGAUGCAGCCAUGCCGCGUGUGUGAAGAAGGCCUUCGGGUUGUAAAGCACUUUCAGCGAGGAGGAAGGGUUCAGUGUUAAUAGCACUGUGCAUUGACGUUACUCGCAGAAAAAGCACCGGCUAACUCCGUGCCAGCAGCCGCGGUAAUACGGAGGGUGCAAGCGUUAAUCGGAAUUACUGGGCGUAAAGCGCACGCAGGCGGUUUGUUAAGUCAGAUGUGAAAUCCCCGCGCUUAACGUGGGAACUGCAUUUGAAACUGGCAAGCUAGAGUCUUGUAGAGGGGGGUAGAAU
rnacentral:rRNA from 1 species